GGCUGGCCCCAGUGCAGUGGUGUUUACAGCUAAUUGCUCACAACCAGUUACAGAUUCCUUUGCUCCUUCUCCACUCCCACUGCUUCACUUGACUAGCCUUAA
ensembl:misc_RNA Y_RNA Y RNA